rnacentral:rRNA from 1 species
UACGGAGGUGGCAAGCGUUGUUCGGAUUUAUUGGGUGUAAAGGGUAUGUAGGUUUCCUGUAAAGUCUCUCUUUAAAUACUCUGGCUCAACCAGAGAACUGGGAGGGAAACUGACGGGAUAGAGUGCUGGAGAGGAAAGCGGAAUUCCCGGUGUAAGGGUGAAAUCUGUAGAUAUCGGGAGGAACACCAGUGGCGAAAGCGGCUUUCUGGCCAUGCACUGACACUGAAAUACGAAAGCUAGGGGAGCAAACAGGAUUAGAUACCCUGGUAGUCCUAGCCGUAAACGAUGGGCACUAGGUGUAUCCCCUUUAUAGGGGGUGUGCCGAAGUUAACACAUUAAGUGCCCCACCUGGGGAGUACGGCCGCAAGGUUGAA